rnacentral:tRNA from 5 species
GUCGACGUAGCUCAGCUGGAUAGAGCAUGCGCCUUCUAAGCGCACGGUCGGGGGUUCGAAUCCCUCCGUCGACGCCA